rnacentral:rRNA from 1 species
GGGUCAGUAGGUUGGUCGUGCCACCGGUACGUACUGGUCUCACUGAUUCCUCCUUCCUGAAGAACCGUAAUGCCAUUAAUUUGGUGUUGCGGGGAAACAGGACUGUUACUUUGAAAAAAUUAGAGUGUUUAAAGCAAGCUAACGCUUGAAUACAUUAGCAUGGAAUAAUGAAAUAGGACGAUCGAUCCUAUUUUGUUGGUUUCUAGGAUUGACGUAAUGAUUAAAAGAGAUAGUUGGG